rnacentral:rRNA from 1 species
GACGAACGCUGGCGGCGUGCUUAACACAUGCAAGUCGAACGAUGAAACCUAGCUUGCUAGGUCGAUUAGUGGCGAACGGGUGAGUAACACGUGACUAACCUGCCCCUUUCUCUGGGAUAACGCUCCGAAAGGAGUGCUAAUACCGGAUACUCACACCGAGGCACAUGCCUUGGUGUGGAAAGUUUUUCGGAAAGGGAUGGAGUCGCGGCCUAUCAGCUUGUUGGUGAGGUAACGGCUCACCAAGGCGACGACGGGUAGCCGGCCUGAGAGGGCGACCGGCCACACUGGGACUACGACACGGCCCAGACUCCUACGGGAGGCAGCAGUGGGGAAUAUUGCACAAUGGGCGCAAGCCUGAUGCAGCGACGCCGCGUGAGGGAUGAAGGUCUUCGGAUUGUAAACCUCUUUCAGUAGGGACGAAGCGAAAGUGACGGUACCUAAAGAAGAAGCACCGGCUAACUACGUGCCAGCAGCCGCCGUAA